GUUUUAAGAAAGUUUACGAAUUUGUGUUGGGCCGCAUUCAAAGCCAUCCUGGGCUGCAUGCGGCCUGUGGGCUUUGGGUUGGACAAGCUUGCAUGUGACUGAGUUUGUUCUUAAACUGGUAAGGAAACUUUGUCAGGCAGUAUUUAUUUCCAUAAGUGGUGUUUUCCUACGAAUCAGCACAUGGUGAAAAAUGAGGGGCUAUGUAUAUUUAAGGUGCAGAAUUAAAUUGGUUUAAAUAUCUUUUCUAUUUUGAGCUUUGAUUUUGAUACCUUAAAGGAAAUAUCAACAGUACUAUUUCCAACCUGAAGCCUCCUCAGCUGUUCUGUCCUAGACUUAUGGCGUCCUCUAGUGGCCACUAUGGGCAGCUAUGAUCCUGUUACCUUCCCCAGCAGUUCCCUUCCUGCCCUGUUCCCCACUGCUCUGGCUUGGGUCAAGCCAGGCCUGCCUCCCGCCAACAUAUUCUUCAGAAUUUUACCUCAUGU
rnacentral:lncRNA from 1 species